rnacentral:tRNA from 1 species
GCCCGGCUAGCUCAGUCGGUAGAGCAUGAGACUCAUAAUCUCAGGGUCGUGGGUUCGAGCCCUACGUUGGGCG